rnacentral:rRNA from 1 species
UGCCCUGGCAGUCAGAGGCGAUGAAGGGCGUGCUAAUCUGCGAUAAGCGCCGGUAAGGUGAUAUGAACCGUUAUAACCGGCGAUACCCGAAUGGGGAAACCCAGUGUGACUCGUCACACUAUCAUUAACUGAAUCCAUAGGUUAAUGAGGCGAACCGGGGGAACUGAAACAUCUAAGUACCCCGAGGAAAAGAAAUCAACCGAGAUUCCCCCAGUAGCGGCGAGCGAACGGGGAGGAGCCCAGAGCCUGAAUCAGCAUGUGUGUUAGUGGAAGCGUCUGGAAAGGCGCGCGAUACAGGGUGACAGCCCCGUACACAAAAGCGCAUGUGCUGUGAGCUCGAUGAGUAGGGCGGGACACGUGGUAUCCUGUCUGAAUAUGGGGGGACCAUCCUCCAAGGCUAAAUACUCCUGACUGACCGAUAGUGAACCAGUACCGUGAGGGAAAGGCGAAAAGAACCCCGGCGAGGGGAGUGAAAAAGAACCUGAAACCGUGUACGUACAAGCAGUGGGAGCACAGGUUUACCUGUGUGACUGCGUACCUUUUGUAUAAUGGGUCAGCGACUUAUAUUCUGUAGCAAGGUUAACCGAAUAGGGGAGCCGGAGGGAAACCGAGUCUUAAU